GACGAACGCUGGCGGCGUGCCUAAUACAUGCAAGUCGAGCGCAGGAAGCCGUCUGAACCCUUCGGGGGGACGACGGUGGAAUGAGCGGCGGACGGGUGAGUAACACGUAAAGAACCUGCCCAUAGGUCUGGGAUAACCACGAGAAAUCGGGGCUAAUACCGGAUGUGUCAUCGUACCGCAUGGUCCGCUGAUGAAAGGCGCUCCGGGGUCGCCCAUGGAUGGCUUUGCGGUGCAUUAGCUAGUUGGUGGGGUAACGGCCCACCAAGGCGACGAUGCAUAGCCGACCUGAGAGGGUGAUCGGCCACACUGGGACUGAGACACGGCCCAGACUCCUACGGGAGGCAGCAGUAGGGAAUCUUCCACAAUGGACGAAAGUCUGAUGGAGCAACGCCGCGUGAACGAUGAAGGCUUUCGGGUCGUAAAGUUCUGUUGUAAGGGAAGAACAAGUGCCGCAGGCAAUGGCGGCACCUUGACGGUACCUUGCGAGAAAGCCACGGCUAACUACGUGCCAGCAGCCGCAGUAA
rnacentral:rRNA from 1 species